rnacentral:rRNA from 1 species
GAUGAACGCUAGCGGCAGGCUUAACACAUGCAAGUCGAGGGGCAGCACGGGUAGCAAUACCUGGUGGCGACCGGCGCAAGGGUGCGUAACGCGUGAGCAACAUGCCCUAUACAGGGGGAUAAUCCAGGGAAACUUGGUCUAAUAUCCCAUAGUAUUUAGAGGAGGCAUCUUCUAUAAAUUAAAGCUUCGGUGGUAUAGGAUUGGCUCGCGUGACAUUAGCUAGAUGGUGAGGUAACGGCUCACCAUGGCAAUGAUGUCUAGGGGCUCUGAGAGGAAGGCCCCCCCACACUGGGACUGAGACACGGCCCAGACUCCUACGGGAGGCAGCAGUGAGGAAUAUUGGACAAUGGAUGGAAAUCUGAUCCAGCCAUGCCGCGUGCAGGAAGACAGCCCUAUGGGUUGUAAACUGUCUUUUAUAGUGGGAGCAAUAAGGUCUACGUGUAGACUGAUGAGAGUACCAUAUAGAAU